rnacentral:rRNA from 1 species
AUUGAACGCUGGCGGCAUGCCUAACACAUGCAAGUCGAACGGUAACAGAACUAGCUUGCUAGUUGCUGACGAGUGGCGGACGGGUGAGUAAUAUAUAGGGAUCUGCCUAAUAGUGGGGGACAACAUGUGGAAACGCAUGCUAAUACCGCAUACGCUCUACGGAGGAAAGUGGGGGCUCUUCGGACCUCAUGCUAUUAGAUGAACCUAUAUCGGAUUAGCUUGUUGGUGAGGUAAUGGCUCACCAAGGCGACGAUCCGUAGCUGGUUUGAGAGAAUGAUCAGCCACACUGGGACUGAGACACGGCCCAGACUCCUACGGGAGGCAGCAGUGGGGAAUAUUGCACAAUGGACGAAAGUCUGAUGCAGCAAUGCCGCGUGUGUGAAGAAGGCCUUCGGGUUGUAAAGCACUUUCAGAUGUGAGGAAAAGCAGUCUAUUAAUACUAGAUUGCCGUGACGUAACAUCAGA